AAUUACGGAAAACCCUUUACAGUAAUUACUUUAAUAAAAUAUCCUGACGGCCAUCGUUGAUCAGGAGAUUAUAUAAGAAAAUUCUUGAAUUAUAUUAUCGUGUUAACAAUGUAUUGACGUUAAUCUUUAUAGAAAAGAUUAUUAAUAAACAAUACUUUAAAAUGUUUCAUCGAGAAACAUCGGGAAAAGGAUUCCAUGGAAUAAGACUCUACGUAACAGACUGAAAGAUUGAGAAGCCUUGUUUGUCAGUUUAAACUACAAAUAUCUUAAGGCAUAUAUGUGUAUAUCUAGUCACAGCUAAACGAAAUGAAACUUCUUCAACCAGGACCAUGUAACGACAAAAUAUACAUUGGAAUAGAUUCUGACAUUCAUAGACUGACUUUCAUUUGAAGUUGGAAAAUGAAUAUACCUUAACAUGUACGCACGUAUCAAGAGAUUCCACAUCAUAUGAAAUAACACAAUAUUGUAAAGAAAGACAUGUCCGGAUGUUCAAACCUAUCAAAAUAAAACUGUCACAAUCUUGAGUACUCGUCUCCGAUAUUCACUUUUUCCGCGAUGGACUUUAAUUGGAAAAAGAACUAAGAUUUUACAUAUAAGUCGUCUCGUUCAGUCUUAGUUUUUUGCGGCAUUCAAUGAAGCUUUGCAUUAAUUUAAGCAUGACAAAGUGCUAAUCAAGUGCAAGAUUCUGGUCUGUCUCUACCAAGGACUGUUCACAGACAUGAUUUGUAACCAUAACCACAUACAUAACGAGUGUAAUAAGAGGCGAUAUACGAUGCUUUUUUCAUAAAAUAGUAAUAAAGACACAUUCAAGGUCAAUAUUUCUGAGUUCAACAUUUACAGUCAGAAGUGACUCCUGACCUUAUUACGGAAGAAGGAGACGAAGAAGAAGAUUCACAGUAUGACGAAGCAAGUCAAACACGUGAUGUUUCUAUUGAUCGGUGUAUUUUUGUGUUCUACCAGAACAAAAAAAUCCUAUUUGAAAACCAUUGGUCGAGAAUUUACAUUUAUACAAAUCUUAGCUUAGAGAGAAAUACGAAACUUUCAAGGAAAAGUCAAAUUAGAUGUAAGAUGCUUGAAUAAUCAGUUUGGUUAAUUAUAAUCCAUUGUCAAAAUGUUGUUCAAUUAACAUUAAAUACUUAUAUGGCACAGAGUAUACACUUGUGCAAGUAGACUUUGAAGCUUUUCGAAGGAGGCUGUCAAGAAUUAAAUGAAAAUGCUAAGAUUACUUUUAAUAAAGUUAAGCUUUCAAUUUAAUACAUUUAAUCCAGUCUAUAAAUAUAUGUAACUGUAUUAUUAGAUUGUCAUUUACUGUGAGAUAAUAUAAAGCUGGAUAAAUAAGUUUUAACCAAAUAAGUCAAAUAAAGAUCUUUAUAGGAACUAUGUUGAAUAAAAAUAUUUCCAACUUUUUAUACUCACGUCUGUCUUUCAGUCAGUCAUAUAUAUCUUGUAGCGGUAAUAUUGCUAAACUCUAUAUGCACUAAAAUAUAUUAUCCGUCUAAAGUUAAUACGUACAAUCAAAGUUUGAAAUGUAUUAAUAUUCUCAACUUAUAUGAAAAAAAUAGCUCAUUAAAGUAUGUCGCAUACAAAUUGCCGAGAUUUCAAAUGGCAAAUGGAGGCGUUUGUCAUUACAGAAGAAACUCAGGAGAAGAGACAAUGGCAAUUUCCUUAAUAUUGUGUUGAAUAUAAGUAACAUUAAUACAAUUUAACAUUUAAAUAAAUUAAUAGUUAAAGUAAUAGAUGACUAAAUAAAAAUAUAUAUAAGAUGAUAAUGGUAAGAAUAACUACAAUAAAAUAUGAAAAU
rnacentral:lncRNA from 1 species